UCCAGCCUGGGCGACAGAGUGAGACUCUGUCUAAAAAAAAAAAAGACAAAGUCAGUUUCCAUACCAUACCAGACUUUCAUUUCAUAUUUCAUCAACCACAUCCUGUUAUUUUUCUUGGAACCGCUUCUCCUCCUCUCCUUUUUCUGACAACACACGCACUGAAGAAGCGUGUCAUGGAGAGGCAGGGAGGGAUAAUUUCGCAGGUCAGGGGAGGUCAGUUUCCCCUUAGCCCUCAAAGGUGCGGGCUGAUUAGCAGGUCAGCUGUCUGAGCAAGACAGUAUUGAACCCAAGCCAUCACUCCGAAGGGCGCCCGGAGGAUCUUUCUGGCGCAGAACAGCUCCAGCAAACAACAGCCAAUCCAAGAUCUUUGCUCACCCUUUGGCGCUCAAGAAGGGGAGAGAUGGCAAGUAGCUGAGCCUCGAGGACAAAGGAGAGAAAGUCUUUGUGUUGAACAGGCCAAUCAGAAAAGGGGUAUUUCUGGAGAAGAUUAAGGACAGAAAGGAAGGAGGCCUGCCAGCCCCGGAAGCAAGGUUCUGGUGCCCUGGUGCGCUCUGACAUGCGGGAGAGGAAAAGGAACCUGCGCCGGCCACUAAGGAGGAGACUGGUGAAGAAGGACGAUGACCAGCAGGAUCCCAGUGUCCUGGAUCCAAAGGAAGGAAGCAUUUCAGGGAGUGGACAGUGUUGAUGGUGACUUGGAUUCUAUAAGCUGUAAAGCUCAAGUGCUGGUCCUGACUGCAGGAAAAUUUCUAAAAUAGCUCUGACAGGCUGAGCCUCGGCGCUAGAACCCAGCGCCAGAAGGCCGGGCCACAGGUGACUGGGCUGCGAGGCCACACUCCAGCGAACACGCGCGGACACAUGC